GAUGAACGCUGACAGAAUGCUUAACACAUGCAAGUCGAUGGGGAAGUGGUGCUUGCACCAUGGCAACCAUGGCGGACGGGUGAGUAACGCGUAAGGGACUUACCUGCAGGACUGGGAUAACAGGGGGAAACUCCUGACAAGACCGGAUAAUGUCAUGGAGCUGCAUGGCUUUAUGAUGAAAGGAGACGCCUGCGGAGAGCCUUGCGUCCUAUUAGCUAGUUGGUGAGGUAAUGGCUCACCAAGGCGAAGAUAGGUAGCCGGCCUGAGAGGGUGGACGGCCACAAGGGGACUGAGAUACGGCCCUUACUCCUACGGGAGGCAGCAGUGGGGAAUAUUGGACAAUGGGGGCAACCCCGAUCCAGCAAUUCUGUGUGCACGAAGAAGGUUUUCGGAUUGUAAAGUGCUUUCAGCAGGGAAGAAGUAAGUGACGGUACCUGCAGAAGAAGCGACGGCUAAAUACGUG
rnacentral:rRNA from 1 species